rnacentral:rRNA from 1 species
GAGUGCCAGCAUCAUAUGCUGGCUGUCCAGGUGUGUAAAAUACACCUGUUAGCAAGGGCCGGGCAAGACCGGUGCCAGCCGCCGCGGUAACACCGGCGGCCCGAGUGGUGAUCGUGAUUAUUGGGUCUAAAGGGUCCGUAGCCGGUUUGGUCAGUCCUCCGGGAAAUCUGACAGCUUAACUGUUAGGCUUUCGGAGGAUACUGCCAGACUUGGAACCGGGAGAGGUAAGAGGUACUACAGGGGUAGGAGUGAAAUCUUGUAAUCCCUGUGAGACCACCUGUGGCGAAGGCGUCUUACCAGAACGGGUUCGACGGUGAGGGACGAAAGCUGGGGGCACGAACCGGAUUAGAUACCCGGGUAGUCCCAGCCGUAAACGAUGCUCGCUAGGUGUCAGGCAUGGCGCGACCGUGUCUGGUGCCGCAGGGAAGCCGUGAAGCGAGCCACCUGGGAAGUACGGCCGCAAGGCUGAAACUUAAAGGAAUUGGCGGGGGAGCACAACAACGGGUGGAGCCUGCGGUUUAAUUGGACUCAACGCCGGACAACUCACCGGGGGCGACAGCAAUAUGUAGGCCAGGCUGAAGACCUUGCCUGAAUCGCUGAGAGGAGGUGCAUGGCC